rnacentral:misc_RNA from 1 species
AAAAAAAAGGAUAAGGCCAGCCAACAUCAUCAAUAAGAUAAAAACAUCACACUACGAUCUCCCCAUUUACAGCAAGUCAUAAUUUUGUGUUUGCCAAUUGAGAGAGGUUUUAAGCAUAUGCUUCAUGGGGUCUUUAAUGGCUGGUUGGGACUCUCCCGUCCUGGAUCAUAAAUCAGUGAAAUACAAGAGAAAUUGGUCAUUUACCAAAGAAGAGAUUGACGCUUACUGGAAAUUAAAGAAGAAAACAGAGGAGGAACAUCUCAAAGCAAUUUCUACUCCUUCAGAAAGCAUUAAUCAGGAUGGUACAUAUGAUGACUAUGGAGUAAAGCUUCAGAGAUCAAGCUCCUUGCCUGAGGCCAAGAGAAAGGAGAGCCUCAUGGGCAUGGAAACUGAUAAAAGCUUGGAGGAAGUCAUAAAGAAAAAUGGCUGGUGGAAAAGGAGCAACUGGGCAUUUCUGAACGAACCUCCUGUGCUGGAACGCUCUUCCAACACCUACGCUGCGCAGUUCCACAUUGCCAAUCUUGCCGACUCGAAACACAAUAAUACUGGAAUUAGUGCUUAAUAUUAGCUUUGCUUUCUACCCUAUCUGUACAUGAGUUUGAUCUAAGUUAUCACUAUAAGAACAUGUAUAGAUUAUAGUAAUUAAGAUCUGUAAAUAUGAGUAUGUGUGAGGGUUGGGAUUUUCAUGUGCAGAGUUUGGCUAUGCUCUAGCACCGGUGAAUGUGACUGUCCGUAGAAUUGCAGAAAUUAUAUUAGUACUGUGAUUGUGAACUUUAUCUAAUCUGCAGAUUGAGAAGAUUUUCUUUUUCUUUUAAAUAAAAAAUUAUAAAAAAUCUUACCUUACCUCUUUCUAAAUAUAUUAUCAAUAAAAUGAUUGCGG